CUCCGCCGCCGCCCCCAUCCCCAAUCUCCUCCCUCCUCCGCCGCCCCAUCCCCAAUCUCCUCUCCCUGCCCCGUCGCCCCAUCCCGAAUCCCCUCCUCUCGCUCCUCCGCACCCUCUCCAUCUGGUGGUCGCUCCUUUCACCACCCCUUGCCCCACCUCCCGGCUGAGCCCUUUCUCUUCCCCGGCCUCUCCCGUACCUCCUCCGCUCACAUUCCUAGUGGCACCUCUGCGUCCUCUACCCUAUGCUCUACCUUUCCUGCUGACCAGCGAUGAUAACGGCGUCUUGGGUGCGCUGGAUCCGGCAUGGAUCUCAAUACCGACAGUAGCCUUGUUGGAGCAGAGCAGCUGUGCGAUGGCCGGUCUACCGCGACGACUCGCUGGAGGCGGCAGCGAACUCUAGUCGCCACUCACCACUUGUUACCGGCUCAACGCCUUCGACUGGAGGCAGAGCAAUACUGUCAACAAGGUAAGUACCAAGGCAGCUGCGGUGAGUGUGCACAGCGGCAGAUAUGCAUGGUGAGCUUAUCCCCUUCCACACCAACUUGUGAUUUUGUUCUUCCAUGGCCGAUGUGUCUAUGCAGACACUGGAUCUAAAUUUAGAACCUGCCACUUUUAUAUUCCUUGAUUUUUUGCACGGAUGGUUACCGCUAGCUUAACACAAAACGUUCUGAUGUUUCUCUGGUAACAUGCAUUGAAUUGAUGUACUGGUGGUUGGUUGAGUGUCCGUACGUGAUAGACCUGUGUUUGAGUAAUGAUCUAGACCACAAACUUAAGUUGCCGGAUAUAUCUGCAUAUACAGAAGCUAGCUUCUCAUGUAUGCAUGUUAAUGUCAACUAGCUGUGGUAUAUACUGGUGAUUUUACCUGAUUGUGCUAAAAUUUACAUCAUAGAGGUGUAUUUGAUUUAUUGUCAAUUGAUGGUGGUUGGUCAUCAUGCAAGCCACCCCUUCUCUGUUAUUUUGUACAAAUAUGUGAUUUUUCAUACAGACUUUUGUUCUUGCAAUCUAUCAUACAUGGGCUUCGUUAAUUAUAUAUGCCAUACAUGUUGAUCAACAUCAUUAGUGAACAAAUCAUUUUGCUCUAGAAACAAGGAACACAUUUGAGAGUUCUAUGUUCAGUUGUGUAUGAUUGUUUUUUGUUGUUGCGCUGUCUUUGGCUAUAAUUCAAUUCAUACUCAAAAUGAUGAGCUUAGAGCAUAUUUUAUCUUUCUCUUACUAAGAAAAUCAUUGUGUUUAUAAUUUAUAUGUUGAACAGUACUUGUGCUAUGCAUAUUUCAAUGGGUCAUGAAUUUAAAGUGAAUGUGAGUGUUGUGCAUAUGUGAUUUUUUUUCAUUUCAGCUGAGCGUGAAGUUUGUGAAAUUUGCUUCAGGGCCAUCCUGUCAAGUCCAUCAUUAAGAAAGGGAAGCUAUUGAUUUAUGGGAGCAUUUUCAGCAACAAAGACGUGUGUUUUGACGACUUCGGUAUGGACGGGCGGAUCUGUGGCUAGAAAAGCGGAUUGAUGGGGGCGGUGUUGGCUGUAGAGUAGCAUAGUGUUCUCCAAAACAUGCUUGUAAACUUAAUGUUAUUUGGGUAUUUUCUUUUUGGUCCUGUAGUGGUGUAUUUUUGGUUGUGUUUGUGUAAUUUUCUUUUUUUAGUGACAUGAGCAUAUAUUUUUUGUAAAAUUCUUAUUGGCUUAAAGUUUCAAUGGAGGCAGAAAUUCUUAUUGGCUUAAAGUUUCAAUGGAG
rnacentral:rRNA from 1 species